CAGCACCUCAAGUGGUCAGGAGGAUUAUUGGGCCUAAAGCAUCCGUAGCCGGCUCUGUAAGUUUCCGGUUAAAUCCAUGUGCUCAACGCAUGGGCUGCCGAAAAUACUGCAUAGCUAGGGAGUGGGAGAGGUAGACGGUACUCAGUAGGAAGGGGUAAAAUUCCUUUAUCUAUCGAUGACCACCUGUUGCGAA
rnacentral:rRNA from 1 species